UUGCUCCCUGGCGGCGAGUGGCGCACGGGUGAGUAAUACAUCGGAACGUGUCUUCUAGUGGGGGAUAACUGCCCGAAAGGGCAGCUAAUACCGCAUGAGACCUGAGGGUGAAAGCGGGGGAUCGCAAGACCUCGCGCUGGAAGAGCGGCCGAUGUCCGAUUAGCUAGUUGGUGAGGUAAAGGCUCACCAAGGCGACGAUCGGUAGCUGGUCUGAGAGGACGACCAGCCACACUGGGACUGAGACACGGCCCAGACUCCUACGGGAGGCAGCAGUGGGGAAUUUUGGACAAUGGGGGCAACCCUGAUCCAGCCAUGCCGCGUGCAGGAUGAAGGUCUUCGGAUUGUAAACUGCUUUUGUCAGGGACGAAAAGGGAUGCGAUAACACCGCAUUCCGCUGACGGUACCUGAAGAAUAAGCACCGGCUAACUACGUGCCAGC
rnacentral:rRNA from 1 species